rnacentral:rRNA from 1 species
GGGGCAGCAUGGUCUUAGCUUGCUAAGGCCGAUGGCGACCGGCGCACGGGUGAGUAACACGUAUCCAACCUGCCGUCUACUCUUGGACAGCCUUCUGAAAGGAAGAUUAAUACAAGAUGGCAUCAUGAGUCCGCAUGUUCACAUGAUUAAAGGUAUUCCGGUAGACGAUGGGGAUGCGUUCCAUUAGAUAGUAGGCGGGGUAACGGCCCACCUAGUCUUCGAUGGAUAGGGGUUCUGAGAGGAAGGUCCCCCACAUUGGAACUGAGACACGGUCCAAACUCCUACGGGAGGCAGCAGUGAGGAAUAUUGGUCAAUGGGCGAGAGCCUGAACCAGCCAAGUAGCGUGAAGGAUGACUGCCCUAUGGGUUGUAAACUUCUUUUAUAAAGGAAUAAAGUCGGGUAUGCAUACCCGUUUGCAUGUACUUUAUGAAUAAGGAUCGGCUAACUCCGUGCCAGCAGCCGCGGUAAUACGGAGGAUCCGAGCGUUAUCCGGAUUUAUUGGGUUUAAAGGGAGCGUAGAUGGAUGUUUAAGUCAGUUGUGAAAGUUUGCGGCUCAACCGUAAAAUUGCAGUUGAUACUGGAUAUCUUGAGUGCAGUUGAGGCAGGCGGAAUUCGUGGUGUAGCGGUGAAAUGCUUAGAUAUCACGAGGAACUCCGAUUGCGAAGGCAGCCUGCUAAGCUGCAACUGACAUUGAGGCUCGAAAGUGUGGGUAUCAAACAGGAUUAGAUACCCUGGUAGUCCACA